CCAUCCCUUCCCUGCACUGGUGGUUUACCUGCGAGUCACAUGUCCAGUGUUUGUGUUAGCGUUACCAGAAGGUCCGGGAAGAGUGUGUGUUUCAGUGAACCCACCGGUCACUAACAGGGCUGAGGAUGUUGAACCAGUGGCAGUUGGUGGGCUGUAGAAAGGGUGACACCAGGAAGGGGAGAUUGAGCUAACCGAGUGUUGAGCUGAAGGAAACGCUGUGGAAACCACAGAGAAGCUGCAUACGCCUUGGGCAGUGUGUCGCCUUUUGUAGUUUCAUUUUGUCGUCUUGUUUUAGAAUGUGUCAUAAUGAUGUAUUGCUCUGGAACAUGCUCUGCAUCCUUGAAAUACUUGGUUCUCGUGCAGCCUGAUGGUUAUC
ensembl:lncRNA